GAUGAACGCUGGCGGCGUGCCUAAUACAUGCAAGUCGAGCGAACGGACGAGAAGCUUGCUUCUCUGAUGUUAGCGGCGGACGGGUGAGUAACACGUGGAUAACCUACCUAUAAGACUGGGAUAACUUCGGGAAACCGUAGCUAAUACCGGAUAAUAUUUUGAACCGCAUGGUUCAAAAGUGAAAGACGGUCUUGCUGUCACUUAUAGAUGGAUCCGCGCUGCAUUAGCUAGUUGGUAAGGUAACCGCUUACCAAGGCAACGAUGCAUAGCCGACCUGAGAGGGUCAUCGGCCACCCUGGCUCUGAGACACGUUCCAGACUCCUACGCGAGGCAGCAGUAGGGUAUCUUCCGCAAUGGUCGAAAGCCUGACGGAGCAACGCCGCGUGAGUCAUGAACGUCCUCUGAUCCUAGAACUCUGUUAUUAGGGAAGAACAUAUGUGUAAGUAACUGUGCACAUCUUGACGGUACCUAAUCAGAAAGCCACGGCUAACUACGUG
rnacentral:rRNA from 1 species